rnacentral:lncRNA from 1 species
GGCGGUGCGUGUCUCCCCAGUGGCUGCUGACCCACUCUCUCCCACCUCGGCCUCCCAAAGUGUUAGGAUUACAAGCGUGAGCCCCUGUGCCCAGCCAUAAUUUCUUAAUGGACCUAUCCUUCCUUUAACAUUGUACCCAUUUCUGACUUUGGAAUGUUAGGGCGAUAAGAACACAGAGUCUGGCAGUAAAGACCACAGUCUGAUUGUUCACAGACUGUGGCCCUGGGACCCCAGAGUGCCAAGGGUCUGACAACACCUGGAUGCAGCAACUGUUGUCUGUGAAGGGUAUAGAUGCUCUUGAAAUGAACAAAGUAUGAAUUAUUUCUAAACAUCUUUGAAUUUAGUCUUCCUAAUGUAGUCUCUGAAUUUCCAGAAGCAGGUACAUGUGCUGAGCUGUACACAUGUUAUCAGAAUGACCUUCUUCUGGACACAUACGUGUGGGGAGGAGGGCCAGAGACCUUGGUAGAGGGCAGUUUCCCCACAGCAUGCUCUGAAAACAUAGAACUAGGUGCUCUAUACAAAUUGGGUGCCAGACAAUGAGGGGGGCCCAGAAUCCCACCCACAUCUGGCAGCCACCGGUCACCCCUCUCUCCCCCCAUCUGAGUGGUGUCAGACACAACGUAGUAGAAAGUUAGGACUGUGACCACCACACAGUGACAAGGCCACCUCCCACUGUGGUGUCAGUGGAGACUAUAUGGAAAGCCAGGACUGCUACCCACCCACCCAACAGUCCUCAGGAGCCCACCCAAAGGUUCCCAGUGGGAAACCUAGACUUCUGGCCCCACAUGGUGUUAACAAGGUGAAGCCUCUCCCUUUUGCUGCUGAAGUGGGAUCAGAGAAAGCCAGUAAAAAGAGAAGGAUUAAAUAAUAUGAAAACGUCUGGGUUUCGGUAGAUAACCACUCAUCACACAAAGAACAAGGACGAUUUUAAGAUGAAUGAAUACAAAGCUGGGUGUUUUGGCUCAUGCCUGUUAUCCCAGAGCUUAGGGAGGCUGGACUGAGAGGAUCAUUUUAGACCAGGAGUUCCAGGCCAGCCUGGGC